rnacentral:rRNA from 1 species
AGUGAACGCUGGCGGUAGGCCUAACACAUGCGAGUCGAACGGCAGCACAGUAAGAGCUUGCUCUUACGGGUGGCGAGUGGCGGACGGGUGAGGAAUACAUCGGAAUCUACUUUUUCGUGGGGGAUAACGUAGGGAAACUUACGCUAAUACCGCAUACGACCUACGGGUGAAAGCAGGGGAUCUUCGGACCUUGCGCGAUUGAAUGAGCCGAUGUCGGAUUAGCUAGUUGGCGGGGUAAAGGCCCACCAAGGCGACGAUCCGUAGCUGGUCUGAGAGGAUGAUCAGCCACACUGGAACUGAGACACGGUCCAGACGCCUACGGGAGGCAGCAGUGGGGAAUAUUGGACAAUGGGCGCAAGCCUGAUCCAGCAUACCGCGUGGGUGAAGAAGGCCUUCGGGUUGUAAAGCCCUUUUGUUGGGAAAGAAAAGCAGCAGGUUAAUACCCCGCUGUUCUGACGGUACCCAAAGAAUAAGCACCGGCUAACUUCGUG